rnacentral:rRNA from 1 species
UAUUGCACCAUGGGCGAAAGCCUGAUGCAGCGACGCCGCGUGAGGGAUGACGGCCUUCGGGUUGUAAACCUCUUUCAGCAGGGAAGAAGCGCAAGUGACGGUACCUGCAGAAGAAGCACCGGCUAACUCCGUGCCAGCAGCCGCGGUAAUACGUAGGGUGCGAGCGUUGUCCGGAAUUAUUGGGCGUAAAGAGCUUGUAGGUGGUUUGUCGCGUCUGCUGUGAAAAUCCGAGGCUCAACCUCGGACUUGCAGUGGGUACGGGCAGACUAGAGUGUGGUAGGGGAGACUGGAAUUCCUGGUGUAGCGGUGGAAUGCGCAGAUAUCAGGAGGAACACCGAUGGCGAAGGCAGGUCUCUGGGCCAUUACUGACACUGAGAAGCGAAAGCAUGGGGAGCGAACAG